GACGAACGCUGGCGGCGUGCCUAAUACAUGCAAGUAGAACGCUGAAGGAGGAGCUUGCUUCUCUGGAUGAGUUGCGAACGGGUGAGUAACGCGUAGGUAACCUGCCUGGUAGCGGGGGAUAACUAUUGGAAACGAUAGCUAAUACCGCAUAAUAGUAGAUGUCGCAUGACAUUUGCUUAAAAGGUGCAAUUGCAUCACUACCAGAUGGACCUGCGUUGUAUUAGCUAGUUGGUGAGGUAACGGCUCACCAAGGCAACGAUACAUAGCCGACCUGAGAGGGUGAUCGGCCACACUGGGACUGAGACACGGCCCAGACUCCUACGGGAGGCAGCAGUAGGGAAUCUUCGGCAAUGGACGGAAGUCUGACCGAGCAACGCCGCGUGAGUGAAGAAGGUUUUCGGAUCGUAAAGCCCUGUUGUAAGAGAAGAACGAGUGUGAGAGUGGAAAGUCACAACU
rnacentral:rRNA from 1 species